GAGCCGUUUUGUACAACUUUUAGUCUUGCCUGAUCGAUGCAUUCAAAGAAACUUUCUCUUUUUCCUAUUGAAGGCAGCUUGCAUGGGAUCAACAUACGGCAUGGGAAACACUAAAGAAGAAGGUGCACAUUAACCAAAAAGAAGGCAAAAGACCUAUGAAAACAUGACUAAAUCAUGAAAAACAAAAUGAGACAGGACAUACCCAAAAUGAGUGGGAUGGGCACAUGAUAGGCCGAAAACCAGAGAUAAACGAUGGUCCAGCUGUGCAAGAAGAAUC
rnacentral:lncRNA from 1 species